GCGGAAGUAGUUCAGUGGUAGAACACCACCUUGCCAAGGUGGGGGUUGCGGGUUCGAAUCCCGUCUUCCGCUCCA
rnacentral:tRNA from 1 species